rnacentral:rRNA from 1 species
UCUUGCCUUUAUACCCGCGCUUACUUGAAUUUCUUCACUUUGACAUUCAGAGCACUGGGCAGAAAUCACAUUGUGUCAACACCCGCUAGGGCCAUCACAAUGCUUUGUUUUAAUUAGACAGUCGGAUUCCCCAAGUCCGUGCCAGUUCUGAAUUGAUUGUUAAUUGAUAAUCGUUAUAAUUAAUAAGAACUAAUUGGUUUAACCCAAAUAGUAUUCUUAAAAAUUUUAGCAAGAAAGUUCCACAAUUGGCUACGUAACUAAACUAUCCGGGGAACAAGUAACUAACAUAAAUGCUAGAAACUCUAUUUACCCAGAACGAGCACAUAAACCAUGUUAUUGUUUCCCAAUCAAGCCCGACUAUCUCAAUCUUCAGAGCCAAUCCUUAUCCCGAAGUUACGGAUCUAAUUUGCCGACUUCCCUUACCUACAUUAUUCUAUCGACUAGAGACUCUUCACCUUGGAGACCAGCUGCGGAUAUUGGUACGGCCUGUUGAGAAGUUUGCGUGUCCCCACCAUAAAUUUUCAAGGUCCGAGGAGAAAAUAUCGACACAACAGUAUAUGUCAUGCUCUUCUAGCCCAUCUACCAUAUCUCUCUGCGAAAGACUUCCAUGGUAGUACGGCUAUAAAACAGAAAAGAAAACUCUUCCGAUAUCUCUCGACGGCUUCUUU